rnacentral:rRNA from 1 species
UACGUAGGGUGCGAGCGUUGUCCGGAAUUAUUGGGCGUAAAGAGCUCGUAGGCGGUCUGUCGCGUCGAUCGUGAAAACUUGGGGCUUAACCCUGAGCUUGCGGUCGAUACGGGCAUGACUGGAGUUCGGCAGGGGAGACUGGAAUUCCUGGUGUAGCGGUGAAAUGCGCAGAUAUCAGGAGGAACACCGGUGGCGAAGGCGGGUCUCUGGGCCGUACCUGACGCUAAGACGCGACAGCAUGGGGAGCGAACGGG